GUGAGCCAUGGGGAGAUUGUGGCUUUUGAGGAUCACUCUCUUCCUGUCACCUCUAGACAUGGCUCUGGAGCUGCUGCCCAUCUGGACACCUACAGGUACACAUACAGCACCUUUUCAGAGUGUUCGCUUCACUGUGGUGGAGGAGUGCAGACCCGUAGUGUGUACUGUAUUAAUGAGAGAACAUCAGCAAUGGUCGAUGAAUCUCACUGCAUUGCACAAGGCCUCAGGAAACCAGCUUCCCAGAUGGCCUGCAACGAGCACCCCUGUGUCGAGUACAGUGUCGGUCCCUUUGGUGAUUGCUCGGUGACGUGUGGUGAGGGACAGCAGACACGAGAGGUGUUCUGUGUCAGGGGCAGAGGAGAGCACAUCACUGAGCACCACUGCAGGGGUCUCACACGUCCACAUGACAUCAGAUCCUGUCAGAGACCAGCUUGCCACCAAGUUUUAGAUAUUAUAACAAUGACUUCAGCCUGUGUUCUCGUAGCUGUGGAACUGGUACUCGUGAGCGCAGAGUAGUAUGCAUGGAUUUGGAUCACAAUCAAUAUCCAGAUGAAAGAUGUGCUACUUUCCCCAGACCUCAUGCUGUGGAGAACUGCAACACACAGCCCUGCCCUGGUGCACAAAUGGUGCCCAGCGUGCAGUACCCCAGUGGUUAUGAAAGCUCCUUGCGUGGAUUUGUGCCUCAUACCCAUGAUGCAACCUCAGUUCACAGAUCAAGUGAUCCAUACCCCACAGUGACUGGGCCGCAUUGUGCCCAGUCAUAUUAUGGCUGCUGUCCGGAUGGCCACACUGCUGCCUCAGGGCCUCGUGGGGAAGGCUGUGCUCAGGAUGACUCUUCAUAGGUCCAGAUAUGGUUGCUGCCUUGAUGGAGUAACAGCUGCUCAAGGUUUUGGAAGAGCAGGAUGUCCUGAUUUACCCUAUAGAGAUUAUAGUCCAGUCCGUCAGCCCUCUGCUGGUGUGUGCUCUUUGGCACGAGAUGUUGGGUCCUGUUAUGAAUGGACAUCUCGUUUCUACUUUGAUUCUUCCUCUGGCUCUUGCUCACAAUUUUGGUACGGUGGUUGCGAAGCGAAUGGAAAUAACUUUGUCUCCAAGGAGGAAUGUGAGCGGUCGUGUAAGGCUUCUGCCAGAGGCCUUGCCCCAAGAGAACCAACAUCCAGGAGAGGGAUCAACGGGGUCAGAGGUUAUAGACUGAGAUCCCGUGCAUAAAGGAUUUAAAAGAAGGGUCACUGAAAUCCCAUAACAAACAAAUCCAGCUCACAUACAUGUAGACAAAAAUGUUUAUUCAAGGUACACGCAGUCAUUAAAGGCAUCUUGGGAUUAAAACGUUUUAAUGAGGAAAAGAAUAUUAAUUGCCCCCUCAAGCUUUUUAUUGUAUGUUCAGAGAAACACAUUCACUUUAUAGUAUUUGUCAAACAUGACAGUAUCAAAACAAGCAAGAACAAU